GACGAACGCUGGCGGCGUGCCUAAUACAUGCAAGUAGAACGCUGAAGGAGGAGCUUGCUUCUCUGGAUGAGUUGCGAACGGGUGAGUAACGCGUAGGUAACCUGCCUGGUAGCGGGGGAUAACUAUUGGAAACGAUAGCUAAUACCGCAUAAGAGUAGAUGUUGCAUGACAUUUGCUUAAAAGGUGCAAUUGCAUCACUACCAGAUGGACCUGCGUUGUAUUAGCUAGUUGGUGAGGUAACGGCUCACCAAGGCGACGAUACAUAGCCGACCUGAGAGGGUGAUCGGCCACACUGGGACUGAGACACGGCCCAGACUCCUACGGGAGGCAGCAGUAGGGAAUCUUCGGCAAUGGACGGAAGUCUGACCGAGCAACGCCGCGUGAGUGAAGAAGGUUUUCGGAUCGGAAAGCUCUGUUGUAAGAGAAGAACGAGUGUGAGAGUGGAAAGUUCACACUGUGACGGUAUCUUACCAGAAAGGGACGGCUAACUACGUG
rnacentral:rRNA from 1 species